AGUGAACGCUGGCGGUAGGCCUAACACAUGCAAGUCGAACGGCAGCACAGUAAGAGCUUGCUCUUACGGGUGGCGAGUGGCGGACGGGUGAGGAAUACAUCGGAAUCUACUUUUUCGUGGGGGAUAACGUAGGGAAACUUACGCUAAUACCGCAUACGACCUACGGGUGAAAGCAGGGGAUCUUCGGACCUUGCGCGAUUGAAUGAGCCGAUGUCGGAUUAGCUAGUUGGCGGGGUAAAGGCCCACCAAGGCGACGAUCCGUAGCUGGUCUGAGAGGAUGAUUCGCCACUCUGGAACUGAGACACGGUCCAGACUCCUACGGGAGGCAGCAGUGGGGAAUAUUGGACAAUGGGCGCAAGCCUGAUCCAGCCAUACCGCGUGGGUGAAGAAGGCCUUCGGGUUGUAAAGCCCUUUUGUUGGGAAAGAAAAGCAGCAGGUUAAUACCCCGCUGUUCUGACGGUACCCAAAGAAUAAGCACCGGCUAACUUCGUG
rnacentral:rRNA from 1 species